rnacentral:rRNA from 1 species
GUCGGGCGGUAGGGACCUUCGGGUUCUGAGAGCGGCGCACGGGUGCGUAACGCGUAUGCAACCUGCCUUAUGCAGGGGGAUAGCCCGGGGAAACUCGGAUUAAUACCCCAUAGAUCAAUAGAACCGCAUGGUUUAAUUGGUAAAGAUUUAUCGGCAUAAGAUGGGCAUGCGUCUGAUUAGCUAGAUGGUAGGGUAACGGCCUACCAUGGCGACGAUCAGUAGGGGUUCUGAGAGGAUUAUCCCCCACACUGGUACUGAGACACGGACCAGACUCCUACGGGAGGCAGCAGUGAGGAAUAUUGGUCAAUGGGCGCAAGCCUGAACCAGCCAUCCCGCGUGAAGGAUGAAUGCCUUAUGGGUUGUAAACUGCUUUUAUACGGGAAAAAACCCCCCGACGUGUCGGGGGCUGAUGGUACCGUAAGAAUAAGCAUCGGCUAACUCCGUGCCAGCAGCCGCGGUAAUACGGAGGAUGCAAGCGUUAUCCGGAUUUACUGGGUUUAAAGGGUGCGCAGGCGGAACAAUCAGUCAGUGGUGAAAUCUCCCGGCUUAACCGGGAAACUGCCGUUGAUACUAUUGUUCUUGAGUCCAGUUGAAGUAGGCGGAAUGUAGCAUGUAGCGGUGAAAUGCUUAGAUAUGCUACAGAACACCGAUAGCGAAGGCAGCUUACUAAACUGAAACUGACGCUCAGGCACGAAAGCGUGGGUAGCAAACAGGAUUAGAUACCCUGGUAGUCCACGCCCUAAACUAUGAUCACUCGUUGUUGGCAAUAUAUCGUCAGCGACUAAGCGAAAGCAUUAAGUGAUCCACCUGGGGAGUACGAUCGCAAGGUUGAAACUCAAAGGAAUUGACGGGGGCCCGCACAAGCGGAGGAACAUGUGGUUUAAUUCGAUGAUACGCGAGGAACCUUACCCGGGCUUGAAAUGCAAUCGACGGUAGUGGAAACAUUACUUCCAGCAAUGGCGAUUGUGUAGGUGCUGCAUGGUUGUCGUCAGCUCGUGCCCGUGAGGUGUCGGCUUAAGUGCCAUAAC